UACGGAGGUGGCAAGCGUUGCUCGGAAUCACUGGGCGUAAAGGGCGCGUAGGCGGGGAGGUAAGUCGGGUGUGAAAUCCCUCGGCCCAACCGAGGAACUGCGCCCGAGACUGCUUCUCUUGAGUCCCGGAGAGGAAGAUGGAAUUCCCGGUGUAGCGGUGAAAUGUGUAGAGAUCGGGAGGAACACCGGUGGCGAAGGCGGUCUUCUGGACGGUGACUGACGCUGAGGCGCGAAAGUGUGGGGAGCGAACAGG
rnacentral:rRNA from 1 species